UACGAAGGGGGCUAGCGUUGUUCGGAAUUACUGGGCGUAAAGCGCACGUAGGCGGAUAUUUAAGUUAGGGGUGAAAUCCCAGGGCUCAACCCUGGAACUGCCUUUAAUACUGGGUAUCUCGAGUCCGAGAGAGGUGAGUGGAAUUCCGAGUGUAGAGGUGAAAUCGUAGAUAUUCGGAGGAACACCAGUGGCGAAGGCGGCUCACUGGCUCGGUACUGACGCUGAGGUGCGAAAGCGUGGGGAGCAAACAGG
rnacentral:rRNA from 1 species